AGUCGCAGCGGCUGAGCCGCCUUUGCAAGGCGGAGGUCACCGGUUCGAUUCCGGUAGGGUCCA
rnacentral:tRNA from 1 species